UUGGAGGGCAAGUCUGGUGCCAGCAGCCGCGGUAAUUCCAGCUCCAAUAGCGUAUAUUAAAGUUGUUGCAGUUAGAAAGCUCGUAGUUGAAUUUCGGGAUCAGAUUGUCGGUCGUGCCUCGGUACGCACUGGUAUUAUUGGUUCCUACCUUCUGAAGAACCGCGAUGUCAUUAAUUUGGUGUCGUGGGGAAUCAGGACUGUUACUUUGAAAAAAUUAGAGUGUUUAAAGCAGGCUUACGCUUGAAUACAUUAGCAUGGAGUAAUGAAAUAGGACGUUUGAUUCUAUUUUGUUGGUUUCUAGGAUUGACGUAAUGAUUAAUAGGGAUAGUUGGGGGCAUUAGUAUUCAAUUGUCAGAGGUGAAAUUCUUGGAUUUAUUGAAGACUAACUACUGCGAAAGCAUUUGCCAAGGAUGUUUUCAUUAAUCAAGAACGAAAGUUAGGGGAUCGAAGACGAUCAGAUACCGUCGUAGUCUUAACCAUAAACUAUGCCGACUAGGAAUCAGACGAUGUUAAUUUUUUAAUGACUCGUUUGGCACCUUACGGGAAACCAAAGUGUUUGGGUUC
rnacentral:rRNA from 1 species